rnacentral:rRNA from 1 species
GACGAACGCUGGCGGCGGGCUUAACACAUGCAAGUCGAACGGAAAGGCCCUGCUUUUGUGGGGUGCUCGAGUGGCGAACGUGUGAAUAACACGGGAGUAACCUGCCCUGGACUUUGUGAUGUCUUCAGGAAACUGGUGAUAAUACCUGCUAGGAGCUCCUGCUACAGGGUGGGGGUUGGAAAGUUUCGGCGGUUGUGGGUGUACUCGCGGCUUAUCAGCUUGUUGGUUGGGUAGUUGCUUACCAAGGCUUUGGCGGGUAGCCGGCCUGGGAGGGUGACCGGCCACAUGGGGACUGAGAUACGGAGCAGACUGCUACGUGAGGCAGCAGUGGGGAAUAUUGCACAAUGGGCGGAAGCGUGAUGAAGCAACGCCGCGUGCGGGAUGAAGGCCUUCGGGUGGUAAACCGCAUUCGCCUGUGACGAAGCGGGAGUGACGGUAAUGGGUAAAGAAGCACCGGCUAACUACGUG